GAUGAACGCUGGCGGCGUGCCUAAUACAUGCAAGUCGAGCGAACGGACGAGAAGCUUGCUUCUCUGAUGUUAGCGGCGGACGGGUGAGUAACACGUGGAUAACCUACCUAUAAGACUGGGAUAACUUCGGGAAACCGGAGCUAAUACCGGAUAAUAUUUUGAACCGCAUGGUUCAAAAGUGAAAGACGGUCUUGCUGUCACUUAUAGAUGGAUCCGCGCUGCAUUAGCUAAUUGGUAAGGUAACGGCUUACCAAGGCAACGAUGCAUAGCCGACCUGAGAGGGUGAUCGGCCACACUGGAACUGAGACACGGUCCAGACUCCUACGGGAGGCAGCAGUAGGGAAUCUUCCGCAAUGGGCGAAAGCCUGACGGAGCAACGCCGCGUGAGUGAUGAAGGUCUUCGGAUCGUAAAACUCUGUUAUUAGGGAAGAACAUAUGUGUAAGUAACUGCGCACAUCUUGACGGUACCUAAUCAGAAAGCCACGGCUAACUACGUG
rnacentral:rRNA from 1 species